rnacentral:rRNA from 1 species
UACGUAGGGGGCUAGCGUUGUCCGGAAUCAUUGGGCGUAAAGCGCGUGUAGGCGGUCCGGUAAGUCCGCUGUGAAAGUCGGGGGCUCAACCCUCGGAUGCCGGUGGAUACUGUCGGGCUUGAGUACGGAAGAGGCGAGUGGAAUUCCUGGUGUAGCGGUGAAAUGCGCAGAUAUCAGGAGGAACACCAAUUGCGAAGGCAGCUCGCUGGGACGUAACUGACGCUGAGGAGCGAAAGCAUGGGGAGCGAACAGG